CCCCGAUCUCGCCCCCACCCCGGCCCGGUCCGGCCCAGCGGGCAGGGGGCCCGGGCGGCGAGGGAGCGGUGAGUGCCAGCUCUGAACUCUGCCAUCUUCUUCCUGCUGCAAACGAGCCCACCCCGCUCCAUCUACCCCCAGGGAAAUGGGCUCCAGGCGACCUCCCCGAGGACAGAGUCUGGGGCAAGGAGACCUCGGGAGAAGAGUGCCCCGCGGGGUCAGUUCAAAACUACCAGGGCGGAGCUGCUUCGGUGUCUGGGUGAAGUUUUCGACCAACCCCAGGAGGAAAGCGAGAGGGAAGAGGUCGAGAGCUGUUAAUUCCCAGUGCUUUUGCUGCUUGAAAACAGCCCCACUUGGAAUGCUAGGCGCUGAAACUUAAUCACUGGGGGGCUGAACCCCACUAUCUCCGGGCUCCAGUCCCAGGCGGGAGCGUCGACCCAGGAGAAAGGGGAAAAUGGGGGCCGGAGGGGCAAGGAGGAAGGGAAGACAAUCGAAGGAAACCCGUGUCUAGACUUAUCCCGAGCCCUCUCGCCCUCUGUCUCUCUGUCUCUCUCUCUCCCUCCCUCUGUCCCUCCCUUCCUCCCUCCCUCCCUCUCUCCCGCUCUCCCCCUCUCUCGGCUGCCCGCAAAAGCCCCAGGUCCCCUCUGGGGACCAGUACUGCCUUCACUUUUUAGUGACUGCAGAGAAAAGAAGCUCCAGAAAGUAUUUCACUUACAGUGACAAACAGUGGCAGCCACUGACAUGAUCGGCUGCACCUCAGGUUGUUGGGACCAGGCAUUCAUUCAUGCGCGUGAACGCCCAUAUUGCUGUACCAGGUUGGAGUACAAAAAGUGAGUCCCCCGGAGAUCACGAAUAAUUGGAGGAAACUCUAAAGUCCUCCACCGAGGGUCCUCCAGGAUACCUCCAGAUACCUUCAUGGUUGUCACUGGUACAUCAUCUUCACUGCGUUAUGAAGCCCUGCCUUCCCCAAGCACUGCUAGGAGAAUGUGGCAAAUACAAAGUUUAGAAAAGCGUGAGCCCUGAUAACCUAAGAGCUUACCAUCUUGUGUAAAUUUUGUGUACCUAGUAAAUGGUACUGUCAGCUGCACUGACAGCUCGGAGCCCGGAGCCUGCUUCAGAUUCUGUGUCUCCCUCUCUCUCUCUCUCUCUCUCUCUCUCUCUCUCAGCCCCUUCCCUGCUCGUGCUGUCUCUCUCUCAAAAAUAAAUAAAUCUUUAAAAAAAUUUUUUUAAAUGUUCAUACUCCUGGGGCACCCGGGUGGCGCAGUCAGUUGAUCGACUAACUUCAGCUCGGGUCAUGAUCUCACGGUUCAUGAGUUCAAGCCCCACAUCGGGCUUCCUGCUGCCCGCCUGUCAGUGCAGAGCCUGCUUUGGAUCUUCUGUCCCCCUCUCUCUGCCCCUCCCCUGUGUGCGCUCUGCCAAAAAUUUAUAAAUAAGUAUUAAAAUGUUCAUAUUCCUCAACCCAGAAAGGCUACUUGAAGUCACGUAUCCUAAAGUUACAACCAAAAAGUACAUUAGAAUGGAUACGAAAAGAUGCAUGUCGGGAUAGCUAUAAUUGUGGGAAAACUAGGAACAGAUUAAAAUUUUAACAGAUUUUUAAGUAAAUGACAGUAUUUUUAUGCAGCAAGUACUACAUAGUCAUUAAAAAUGAUGUAUUACAAUAUUUAGUAGCAUGCAAAAGUAUUUUCAUUAUCCAUUGUUAAGAAAGAAAAACACAGGGUACAAAACAAAUGUAUACCCUGACCUCAAGCUACUUCAUAUAUAUGAAGUUAUAUUUAAGUAUAUAAUUUACAUAUUUAUAUAAUGUUAUGUGUAUAUGCAUAACCAGAGAAAAACCUGGAAAUAUAUACACCAAGAUUUAACAGUGGCUAUCCUUGGAAUUAAAGAUGAUUUGUUUUCAGUUUGUAAUCAAGCAAUAAAGACCAUCAUGCUAAAACUCUUUUGGGUUAGCAGUCAGGGCAAUAACAUGACAGCAAGACAAGGACGAAGAAACAGGGCAGUGGACAGAAAUUUUGGGGCACUGAACUGAGGCAUUACCAUUGGAAAACUCUCAAACAUUGGAGCCCAAAUUGCAUAACAAAUAAUCUUUUCCAACAAAUAAGCCGUGGUGGGGGAGGGGAACAUUGGACCACAAUAACCUUGUAUAAAAAGUAAUCAGAAUCCCAUUUCAUAUCCAGAGGCUAGAGAGGCCAAGGGCAUGUAGGUUAUAAUGGGAUACGACUUAUCUGGAAACAGUGGCUUGCAUUCAUUAGCUGGUCUAUUUCCCUAUUUAUUUUUCCCUGUUAUUUUCCCUGUUUAUCUCCUCACCAUGACUGAACUUCAUUUCCUCCUUGGACCAUGUUUAUACCACUGAGCACGAUUCUCCUUGAAAGAAAGGAAAGAAGCAAACCAAAAGUUCCUGGUCGUACUCAGUCAUAUACAGACAUUACCCAGGAUCCCCGGGGCAGUGGUCCUGUCCCUCUGUUUUAACAGAGCAGAUGACUGACAUCCCCCAGGAUGAGAUCCUGCCCAAUUGGUUAUUGCAUCCAUUCAUCCAUUAACACAUUUUUUGAAUGCCAAGUACAAGUCAGACAUCUGGUUCGGCGUUGGGUCCAUGAACACUGGCUCCUCAGGUACCUCUUAUCCCGUUCUAGGGAAAUAAUCUCCCAGAAUCCAAACUUCAGAAUUUUACUACAGUAACACAAUUGAUUAAAUUUAGAGUCAAAAUAGCUCUAAUUU